GAUCCUGGCUCAGAAUCAACGCUGGCGGCGUGCCUAACACAUGCAAGUCGAACGAGAAAGGGGAGCAAUCCMUGAGUAAAGUGGCGACCGGGUGAGUAACACGUGACUAACCUACCCUCGAGUGUGGAAUAACAUCGGGAAACCGAUGCUAAUACCGCAUAACAUCGCAAGAUCAAAGGAGCAAUCCGCUUGAGGAGGGGGUCGCGGCUGAUUAGCUAGUUGGCGGGGUAACGGCCCACCAAGGCGAAGAUCGGUAUCCGGCCUGAGAGGGCGCACGGACACACUGGAACUGAAACACGGUCCAGACUCCUACGGGAGGCAGCAG
rnacentral:rRNA from 1 species